AAGAACCUCCUUCUUAAUCCUUUCAGCCCUUGCAAAGUGGAGAGCUUUGCCUGCCGGUCUGUCACCACAGUUAACACACUCUGAAGAAUGCACUGUUAGAACUGCUGUGUAGAUAGACCUGUUUCCACUUCAAAAGGAUAACCUGCGAUUCAACACCGGCCCAGCCCGCAUGUGGUCCUUGAGCUGAGCAUCCUGGAACCAGAAGGAGAUACCGUGUCCCCAGACAGAAAGGUACCCCAGAUCCUACAGAAGAGAGCACAUGAGAGUCAAGGCUGGGACAGCAAUAACCUUUCCUCAUCACCUGCCUGCACCCUUCCAUGUUAACAUACUGUGAACCGAGCAGAAGUGACAAAACUAAUCCAUCACCCCAGAGCCAACACAAAGAGGAAUAGAGAGGUUAACAGAAAUUGAUGACAUCCCCGCUGGAAUUUUACACUGAUUCGGCCAGCCUUACGAUUGAAAUAGACAAAGAUUUAUAGUCCGAGCGAGGACGCUGGCUGCUCUUGAUUGCCUUGAUUUUUUUUAUGUGCUCCUGCAUAUUUAUUCCCAAGCUCAUCACCGGCUUGUAGCAUUAGAAUGCUGAUUUGAUUGUACAUUCCAAGAGGAGCAGGCAUUAUGCAGCCAUUUGCAUGAUGUGAGAGAAAUCACCAGAACGUUUCUGAUAUCAGCGGCCAAAAUGAUCACUAAUGUUC